UUCUUAGGACAAUUGUAAGACCCCCUUUUGGGGACCCUCACUCUAGUCUCAGGAGAGAGAGCACACCCAAAGAAACACGAGAAUCC
rnacentral:pre_miRNA from 7 species